CUCCGCGUCCUUCCGGCAUCCAGAAGGCUACUAGACAGGUAACAUCUUAUCCGGUGCUCUUUUUAACGAACCUGUCGAUUGUCUAUCUGCCUCCUGAGUGUUUAUGUGAGUGUGAGUGACGGCCGGUGUAUGUGUUUCUUCUAAAAAAUUUAGCUUGACUGCCUAGCGGGCAGGGAACGCGACAGCCGGUAAAAGGCUGGGGACCACCCUCGUAAAGGGUUGGGGAAUUGUGACAGC